UCCAGGAGGAUUCAACCGGCUGUUACUGGAGCCCGCGCCGUGCUGCUCCCAUUUGACGACCACGCGACAAGGUACGAGCCUCUCUCAGUUCUGCAAAACCCGGAACUCUUGGUCUAACCCUCGUCGGUCAAACCCUUCCUCUCUUUCUAAUUUUGGGACAUGUUUUCCGAAGGAUUUUUAUUCUGCAUGCAAAAUGGUGUAAAAUACCAACUCCGCGCGAAACAUGAGCGUAGCUGAAGUAAGCCAAAGCCAGAUGUCCCAAUGCAUGCCAGGUGUUUGUUGGAANNNNNNNNNNNNNNNNNNNNNNNNNNNNNNNNNNNNNNNNNNGAAUGCCGAUUUAUGGAUACACUCGAAAACAUGCCUGUUCUUGGUGCGAGACAAUGCCCCACACCUAUGACAAUCCCUAAAUCCCCAAACCAUCCGAGGAGACAACAUGUGACAAGCUGUAUGGGGCUGAAGUUCAUGAUAAAAAAGAAUGUAGACUUGCACGAAGCAAACACUUGAAUAAAUGGUUCAUUUCAACCAGGUUUGAAUAGGUAUAUAUGCUGGUGCUUAAGCAAGAUAUACACACGAAAAUUAGCACAAACAAUGACCGGACUGGCACCAGUGUUGGCAGACUGGAUGCCUAGGAUAAGUUGAGCUUUAUGUAUGAACCAUAAACAUAAUUAGCUGUUGUAUGUGGAGCUACUUCACAAACUUUUACCAUUUUAGUAAUUUAUCUAUCUGGAGGCUGCUUUAUGUAAUACCAGCUGAGCUGAGCUAGAAACGACUUGAACUUGAAACAGGCGCCACUCUUGUGCCAAAACUUCUUCUAAACACCCAAGGGACAGCUGAAGCAUUGCGCCUGUGGUCACUUGGUUGUAAACCUACGUUUUGCGUCUCUUCUCCGGCUUCAUUACCUCUUUCAUUUCCUUCUGCCUGAUCUCCCUUUUGGUCAGGUUGUGUCUUGGUUGCUGACUUUUUCUUUUCAUAAAAGUAAAUCACCACGGCUAUCAGAAGAGCAGAAGUCGAGACAACUCCACUAAGUAUGAAAAGUCCUGUAAAACCAUCAGGUGUGAGUUUUUCGGGAUCAGGUGCACGCCCCGCAUUGUUGCAGUUGUUUUGGUAUCCGAUUCCGAUCCAUUUCUUCUCAAUUUGAUUAAUAGUGUCUCCUCCUAUUACGCUAAGGAUUGCCUUUGAGAUGUCCCCAACUUGAGGAGAUCCUUUUGGGAAUGCCUGUUGAAGAAAUUUAGUUUUUUGUUAGCUUAUAUCAUAGCUCUAUCACACUUCAUAUCCUGCUACGAUGAUGCCUAAAGCAAGAUGAAAUUGAACCCAUGUGGUAGCAAAGAAGUCCAGAUUGUCAUUAGCCUAAGUGUUAUACUCCCUCCAUCCCAAAAUAAGUGUCGCUGGUUUAGUACAAAAUUUGUACUAAUUUAAUGUUAAGUUUGCGACACUUAUUUUGAGAUGGAGGGAGUAGAAACUAAUUCUGGUGCACAUACAUGGACUUAUGUGGCAGCGCAUAUUUCUUGGUAAGAGCUAAGUUUUUUUAAUGUAUAUGAACAUAUGUGGCAGCACAGAUUAACUUGGGGAAGAAGUAAGAAACUAUUGAGCACCCAUUCAUGGGCAUAAAAUAUAAAUGAUCAUGCAUAAUUAUAUUAUAUAUUUAUGUGAUAAACAAAGAUAAUUUUUCACUUGUAUGGCUGAGUUGCACACGAUUUUGAAUUGAGUACUUGUGCAUCUUCAAGAAAAAAUAAUAGAUGCACAGCAUACUAGAUACAGGUGCUACUAAAAGCUAAAUAUUAACAUUUUGUAAUCACAAAUACAUGUGGUCAUAUGUUUGCACAUUUUUUUGCUCGUGUUAACAAAACAUGUUACAACCUCGAUUUGAAUAUUUUGAAGACGAAACUUUCUGUCAGAUGUUGGAAAGUCCUCUUUCAGCAGAAGGUUGCUAUACACUCGUGUAGGUUCAAGUAAGUUCCCCUCUCUCUUGUAAAUAUUUUCUUACAUAUUUACCCCCUCCGUUCCAUAUUAAGUGCCAGUGUGCCACUGAUUUAGUACAAAGUUGUACUAAAUCAGCAGCACUUAAUAUGGAACAGAUGGAGUAUACUAUUGGGACCUUCCACUCAAUUUUGUCAAAAAUAUUUUUUAUGCACAAAGUGCAUCCAGAAUUAUGUAGUACCCAUAGAAGCACAUUUUUUUCCCAUUGACUAGUGGUGAUACCUGUUAAGCUUCAUGCACUAGCCAAUGCAAUCAAAAGUCCGAACUGGUGGAAAGGGCUAGGCAAUCCACAUAUACACUUCAACACCCCCUCUCACGUAUGACGCAGAAAGUCAAUACGUGGACAGACUCAGAGGUAUGGCUCAAGAGGCCUAUACAUGGACACAUAGGGGGGACAAUAAUUUUUGAAUAAACUACGAAAGCCAGAAUUUGAACUCAAGACCUUAGUCUCUGAUACUAUGUUAAGCUUUAUGCACUAGCCAACGCAACCAAAAGUCCGAACUGAUGAAAAGGGCUAGGCAAUCCACAUAUACACUUUAACAAUACCAUCCUCUUACUCAGGGAAUAGCAGUAUAGCACCUGCGGUGGCAUAAAUCAUUAUAAAUUUCAAUGAUAAAAUCGAUCAUUUGUCACUUCAUACAAUGGUCUUUUAGGCUAUGCCACAGUAUAGAAUGUAAUCCAUUAUUUGCCACUCCACAGGUUGAUUACUUCAUGAUUUGACACUAUUGACUUUAGCUGUUCAUAUUUAUUUCUCUAUUGUUUUUCUUGAGAACUGCAUAUCUUUUCAUUAAGAAGAGAUUAACAGUCAACACAUGACUGGCUCGAUAUGGCCUGUAUUUAUGGAUUAAAUGAAAGGAAGAAAUGUAUGACCUGAGGAAAAUGAACCGAGCUGCUAAAACGACAGAGUUAAAAGAAUAAUCAACAACUCGAACUACCCAACUGCCUAGCACACAAUCCAUGCAGGAUACUCUGACAAUAAACCAUUUUUUGGAUUCUUCCUUGAUCGUUGACACUAAGCACAAACAGAAAAUUGUAGUUAAUUGAAAACCCUGUUAUUCCUCUCCUUCCGCCCCAUCCGAGCAACCAGGAUGAAAAGGAACCAAAGCCCUUUCUUAAAAUACGAUUGAGUACGGUGCACAUGCGUCCUGGAAGUGAUCCAUCAAUCACCAUACUAUAACUCUCCUUAUGAGAUGCAAAAAAAGGGGCUUCUUCUCUCGUUCACUCCACACUGCACAUUCUCAAGGAAUCUGGUGGUUCUCGCUGUCUCACCUAUAUGACCACUCUAUGAACUGAAAUGAUGGCUUUUCUCGACUUUAUUUGGAUAAGAUUGUUUGUAUAUGUAAGCUGAAUUUUGAUCUUCCUUGUCAGUGUGUUUGUUCUUAAAUUCAUUUUCCAACCGUCUCCCAAAAUUUAUCUCUUCGAAGUAUUCUUUUAGUUUGAUUUCUGAUUAUAUUAACUUGUAAUUUGACUAUUUCCCUACUAGCAUGUCCCUUCGACUACAUGUAGCCUUUAGUUCAUAUGUAUGUAGAGUUGAUCAUUUUAAUUGCAAUAGUAUUCACUUAGCUCUCUUCUGCCCUUCAUUGCCACACCUGGUCAUAUUUAUGGAUGGUUUUCUACAAGUUCAUGUAUUAUGGAAUGCACCAUAAUACUAUAUUCAUGAUUGUUUUCAUAUUUUUUUAAAACCUUUGAUAUACAUCAACCUGAUAUGGUAGUAGCAACUGUACCCAAGCUCAUAUGCGACUUUCUGAAAGAAAGAAAAACAAAAUAUAUGAUACUACUAGUAGUAGGCUAGUAGCACAACUUUGUUGAUGUGGUGUAAAGGAGCUAUGUGAUUGACAGCCAUUUUAUUAGUAAACAUCAAAUGUUCACGAAAGUGCAUAUGCUAAUUAUGUGACCAUUGGUUCAAUAUCAUCUGCCCUCCACCCAUUCACUUAGGAAUUAGGUGUGCAAAGCUAGCAAUAGUCCCAUCUUAAAUAAAAUUAGCAGCAAUGAGAUGCGUACAAGAAUUUCUAUGAUAUAUUUUGUCUCAAACAAAUUUAAUGACUGUCGGCUUCAGAGAUAUAUUGUAAAGAGGUAGAUGAAAGUUUACUUACAUAUCCAAAACCUGCUGCUUUAUAAAAUGGAACCAUAGUGUACCCUUUGCAGUUCCUUGCAAGAAAUAAUCUGAUGUAUGGGACUUCAUGAAUGAACGCAGCAAUUCCACCAUUUUUGCUUCCCUUCGAGAGUGCACUGUAAAAUCCAUCAUAGGUAUUAUAGGUCUUGAUCUUCGAUCUGUCAAAAUUGAGUUGUUCCAAUAUUCUCUCGACGUAGGAACCAUGAAUGCAUCCUACAUAGUCCCCACUUUUACGGAGUUCAUGGAUAUCAGUUAUAGUUGGAUUUAGCUGUCGUAUGGUAAGCAUUGUUGCCAAGUUUGCAGUGUAGCUUGCUGACAAUACAAGGAAGAAAAAUACCCAUACAAUCAAAACUAUCCGAGAUAGUAGCCGUUCCACUCUGUCCUCUGAAAUUUUUUAUAUGGAGUUCAAUUAGUUUUUCAGUCAUAUGAAAGGAAAAUGCAGGAACCCACAUAACUGCAUAAUGUAGAUGAAAGUCAUGAAACUUAAUAUGUAAAUUUCUACGUAUUGUGCUAUUAAGUUUUUUCAGAUAGUGGGAAUUAUUUAGUAGUCUAGUUAUCGCGCAGAACAAGGUUCAAAUCCUGGACAACCAUUGCUGCAAAUUUUACCCCACCCCCACCCCAAAAUUAUGGAUGAGAAUCAAACUUGGAUCAUCAAGCAGAGGCAAGUUACCAUACUGCUUGGCUAUGGUAGGUUUAAUUAUCAGUAAUAUGGAUUGGAGGGACAAUUAAUAUGGAUCGGAGGGAGUAUGUUUCUACGACAGAAGCUAUUGCGUUAAAUAAGGUACUGAAAUGACUUACAAAGUAACUUAGCCACUUGAGCUUUGUUUUAUACACCCCAGGCCUAUCCAACUCCAGCAGAAUCUAAUUUUCUAAGCUAUCUCUACACAUUCACAUUCUUGCAUCCUUCAGGCAACUAGAAGCAUGUCUAUUCACUACAACUUUAUAGCUUUGUUAGUUCCACCAACAUUAAAACAUUGUUUCUUCAUGCAACUUCAUACUUCGUGUAAGAUGCUAUUCAGAAGUUCAUUUUCUUUAAGGAAUGAAAGUAUUUUGAUAAAUAUACUCACUGUCUCCAAACAGGGAAAAGAAGGUCAUAAUCCCGAGCUUUCUGGGAACUUCUCCAGGGAUAUUUGUGUUAUUUCCGAGAAACUCCAAUAGCCAGAGAAC
rnacentral:lncRNA from 1 species